UGUUCUAACGUGGAUCCGUAAUCCGGGUUGCGGACAGUGUCUGGUGGGUAGUUUGACUGGGGCGGUCUCCUCCUAAAGAGUAACGGAGGAGCACGAAGGUUGGCUAAUCCUGGUCGGACAUCAGGAGGUUAGUGCAAUGGCAUAAGCCAGCUUGACUGCGAGCGUGACGGCGCGAGCAGGUGCGAAAGCAGGUCAUAGUGAUCCGGUGGUUCUGAAUGGAAGGGCCAUCGCUCAACGGAUAAAAGGUACUCCGGGGAUAACAGGCUGAUACCGCCCAAGAGUUCAUAUCGACGGCGGUGUUUGGCACCUCGAUGUCGGCUCAUCACAUCCUGGGGCUGAAGUAGGUCCCAAGGGUAUGGCUGUUCGCCAUUUAAAGUGGUACGCGAGCUGGGUUUAGAACGUCGUGAGACAGUUCGGUCCCUAUCUGCCGUGGGCGCUGGAGAACUGAGGGGGGCUGCUCCUAGUACGAGAGGACCGGAGUGGACGCAUCACUGGUGUUCGGGUUGUCAUGCCAAUGGCACUGCCCGGUAGCUAAAUGCGGAAGAGAUAAGUGCUGAAAGCAUCUAAGCACGAAACUUGCCCCGA
rnacentral:rRNA from 2 species